rnacentral:misc_RNA from 2 species
AAAUAAACUUCAAGCCACUUUAUUGUGCCUUGGUCUUGAGGGAUGAGCGCAGGUAAGAUCAUGUCUAAUUGCUGCUCACCCAUCGAAUUCCAGUGGCGGAAUCAAACACGGAUUGUCUUGGUGUGAUAAGUUUUUUCACGUCACCAAUCAGCUCGUAUUAUAUUCUAGCCAAUUCAAACUCCCCUCUGUCUUUAAU